GCGAGCGUGAUGGAAUGGUAGACAUGUCGGGUUUAGACUCCGGUGACUGUGGGUCGUGUGGGUUCAAGUCCCGCCGCUCGUA
rnacentral:tRNA from 1 species